CAAUGAGGUGAGGUGGUAGACCCAUGGAUCCUAACAGUGUAUAAAGUGCUGAUCCAAUGAGGUGUGGUGGUAGACCCAUGGAUCCUAACAGUGUAUAAAGUGCUGAUCCAAUGAGGUGUGGUGGUAGACCCAUGGAUCCUAACAGUGUAGAAAGUGCUGAUCCAAUGAGGUGAGGUGGUGGACCCAUGGAUCCUAGCAGUGUAUAAAGUGCUGAUCCAAUGAGGUGUGGUGGUGGACCCAUGGAUCCUAGCAGUGUAGAAAGUGCUGAUCCAAUGAGGUGAGGUCGUGGACCCAUGGAUCCUAGCAGUGUAGAAAGUGCUGAUCCAAUGAGGUGAGGUGGUGCCAUCUUAGUUCCAAC
ensembl:lncRNA